CCAUCUAUCGUUCUUACAUGCAAUGGAGUUUAUCUGUAUUUCUUUGACAUGUUUACGUUUAAUGCCUAAGGACACCGCUAUCAAGUUAUGCUGUUAUCACUAUCAGUUGCUGACUAACGCACCAUCUUACCAGAGUGACAAGGUUCGAGUGUUACAAUGCCGCGUUUCUCAAUAAAAACGUUUCUGUGGUAUGGACCCAGCCCGAGGUGAACACGCUACGACUCUGGACCGAAGCCUGCCCAUGGAAAAAUACAACAGUUCGUGCUACAAGUGGGGCAAGUGGUCACGACUUCAUAGCGUGAGUGGGGGAUUUCAUGUAUCUUAAAGACGUAUUCCGCGUGAUUCGUGAACUACAUCAUCCUUGCGAGAUUUGAGGAUCUCACAGUGGGCAGUGUGAAGAGGGAUGUUCUGGGAUGAUUCACCGUUUACAAGUGCAACGACGUUUCAGAGGUGCUUGCUGAGUCCAUAAUCAGGGCGAUCGCCCUGACAUCUUCACAUUCGCCUCCGUGAGAACCUAAAAUAUUACUUUUAAAUCUGUUUUGUAUUUCUAGAAGCCCUUCUACGGGCAUUAAAAUGACUAAUCGACAAAUAAAAUGAGUGUAAGAAAAUA